CUACAGGAAGUGACUGAUCAAACAGGAAGUGCCCUGCCUUUAAAGGAAGCAGGAAGUUGAGGGUUCCUUCUUUGAUCUUCAAGGCUGCACAGAGCAGGCAGCAACAGAAAUUUUUCACUUCUUCAAUCUGGUGAAUAAAUCAAAAGAGUCACUAACAUCCUGACUCGCUCAUCGUUGAAUGGAGUUUGUCGGACUGUUAACCUACCUGCACCAAACACGUGGAGGACUGUACACACACCUGUGGAGGAUGUAGAGGACCAUCUCUUUGCUUCCUGCACUGGCAGCGUGAUGACGUCAACUGCAGCCGGACGAGUCGAGUGAGGUGAGGUGGGCUCCCUUCAGGUGGGGCUCCCUUCAGGUGGGGCUCCCUUCAGGUGCGGCUCCCUUCAGGUGGGGCUCCCUUCAGGUGCGGCUCCUGCAGCUGAUGAUUCAAUUGAAAGACACAUGGGCAGCCUGACCAAAACAAGAUGAAGAGCUGUUAGCAUGUCUGCUACACCACAAACUGAAUGGGCAGCCUGACCAAAACAAGAUGAAGAGCUGAUAGCAUGUCUGCUACACCACGCUGCCUCACUUCAUUCAACAUUUGGUGUUUCCUCGCUCUGAACUCUGAAGAGUAGGAUCUGUGCUGCAGCUGGAAGGAUCUUCUGAGGAUUAAAGUUUACUUGUUAAUUUUAUUGUCUGUUUUCUCUUAAGCCACUUUCAGAAAUAAAAUGUUCAAGUCUUAAUUUCC